UACAGAACUUCGGCAUGAUUGCU
rnacentral:piRNA from 1 species